rnacentral:miRNA from 1 species
GAUCGAAGUAGUUCUAACGGCCA